GAAAAACACUCUUUACAAGAGCACCAUUAGGGUUCUUCUUUCUCUCUUUACAAUUCGUGAUGCCAUUGGUUUUUGAUCUUUCACAAUGCGUGAUGCAUCGGUUCUCUCGCUUCCCCAAGGAUUUCGAGGCGAAUUAUUCUUUAUUCUUCAUUCAUCACUCUAUCUUUCUUUCCCUUUUCUGUCUUGUUUUACUUUCACAAUUGUAGCAGUUCAUAACUGUUUUGGAAACAAAAGAUGUUGCUGUGUUUUCAGAAGAAGCCAAGUCUUAUCAUCAACGAGAAGGAGUUGCUGUGUUCAUCAAUGGUUAUAUUUUUACCUACCAAGCCUCUCAAUUUUUAAGAAGCCAAUUAGCCAAGUCUUAUCAUCAACGAGAAGGAGGAUGAGUAUCAUGAAGAGGAAGCAGAAUAAUGCUGUUGAUGAGUCCCAUCGAUGCGUCGACGGUUAUAUUUUUACCUACAAGCCU